rnacentral:rRNA from 1 species
GACGAACGCUGGCGGCGUGCCUAAUACAUGCAAGUCGAGCGAGCGAAACUAACAGAUUUACUUCGGUAAUGACGUUAGGAAAGCGAGCGGCGGAUGGGUGAGUAACACGUGGGGAACCUGCCCCAUAGUCUGGGAUACCACUUGGAAACAGGUGCUAAUACCGGAUAAGAAAGCAGAUCGCAUGAUCAGCUUUUAAAAGGCGGCGUAAGCUGUCGCUAUGGGAUGGCCCCGCGGUGCAUUAGCUAGUUGGUAAGGUAAAGGCUUACCAAGGCGAUGAUGCAUAGCCGAGUUGAGAGACUGAUCGGCCACAUUGGGACUGAGACACGGCCCAAACUCCUACGGGAGGCAGCAGUAGGGAAUCUUCCACAAUGGACGCAAGUCUGGUGGAGCAACGCCGCGUGAGUGAAGAAGGUUUUCGGAUCGUAAAGCUCUGUUGUUGGUGAAGAAGGAUAGAGGUAGUAACUGGCCUUUAUUUGACGGUAAUCAACCAGAAAGUCACGGCUAACUACGUG